GACGGAGGGUGCUAGCGUUGUUCGGAAUCACUGGGCGUAAAGGGCGCGUAGGCGGCCUCAGGUGUCGGAUGUGAAAGCCCGGGGCUCAACCCCGGAGGUGCAUCCGAAACUCUGGGGCUGGAGGUCGGAAGAGGAGGGUGGAAUACCCAGUGUAGAGGUGAAAUUCGUAGAUAUUCGCAAGAACACCAGUGGCGAAGGCGGCUCACUGGCCCGAUACUGACGCUGAGGCACGAAAGCGUGGGGAGCAAACAGG
rnacentral:rRNA from 1 species